CGAUAAUCCACGCAUAUGCAACCCCCUCUUGAAAUCCAGCAUGUGUACUGCCGUUGUAGGCAUACCUCUAAGAGUACAAGUAUGCUACCAUGAUUAAGUAAACUCAUAUACAUCAGGUCAAAGUGCAGCCAAUAAGGGUGGUGGUGAUGGGUUACAACCUCAAAAAAGACUAUCAACUAAGAAAUUAAAAAUCUUACGAAAGUGGACUUGGCCGUAAUCAAUUUAUAAGUUAAAAAAAUGAAUAAAUAUCUAAGACAUGCACACAUCGCCCGUCACUCUAUCCUAAAGGUUAGAUAAGUCGUAACAAAGUAGGUGUAAUGGAAAUUGCACCUGUCGGAGUAUAGCAUAUAUAAUGCUUUUUACUUACACUAAAAAUAAAGUGUCUUACUUACUCCGCCCGUGCAAAAUAAUCUUUAAAAUUAACUUAUAUUAUGAUACAAGCAACUAAAAAUAAAUAAGGUACAAAGUACAGAAAUGGAAGUAACAAUAAAUAAUAGUAAUUUUUAACAAUUGUACCUCGUGCAUUAUGGUUUUACAAGAAAUUAAUUAAACACAUAAAUCCCGAAUUCUUAGUGAGAUGUUAAACUGCUGUUAAGAACCUAUUAGUAGCUGUAGAAAAAGCUUUAAAAGACAGUUUAACAGGGGCUACAUACCACCCGCACAAGAAUAUAGCUGGUUUUCAACAAACAUUAUAAAUUAAAACAUAUAAUUAAAAUUAUAGUGUAAUAUUAUUGAGGAUAAGCCCAAUAAUCUAAACAAUAUUACGCCAAAUCUAUAUCUCUCAAUAGGCUUAAUAUCAGCCAACCAAAAUACUUUACCGUAACAAAAACUGAUAUAAUAUAUAACCCCACAUGUAAAAUAAAGUUGAAAUAAUGGGCAACCUACUUAACCCACUAUUAAUAUGUAAAAAUAAGUAUUAGUAAAUAAUAAAUAUUAAGCAACCAGAAAAUAAACAAUAAACUACAAAUAAUAACUAAUUAAGGAACUCGGCAAAUAACUAUUUCGACUGUUUAACAAAAACAUUGUCUCAUGAACACAAUAUGAGAUAAUA
rnacentral:rRNA from 1 species